rnacentral:lncRNA from 1 species
AACUAGAGCCUAAAAUUUGAAAAAAUGGUUAAAAGUAGGGGGUAGCCCUAUUCCAGGGUUUCUAGAGAAAAAUAAUGAUGGGUGUCACGGGGUAUGACUAUAUAGGUCUUGUAGAGGAGAAACAGCCGCUUCUUUUGUGUAUCAGAGGGCGCUAUGUUCAAAAAUCUGAAACUAGAGCUCAAAAUUUGAAAAAAAACUGGUAAAAAACAGGGGGGUCGGCCUAUUCCAGGGCUUCUAGAGAAAAAUAAUGAGGGGUGUCACGGAGAUAUGACUAUACAGGUCUUGUAGGAGAGAAACAGGCGCUUCUUUUGCGCAAGGUAGCAAAGGGCGCUAUGUUCAAAAAUCUGAAACUAGAGCUCAAAAUUUGAAAAAAACUGGUAAAAAACAGGGGGAUCGGCCUAUUUCCAGGGCUUCUAGAAAAAAAUAAUGAGGGAUGUCACGGGAUAUGACUAUAUAGGUCUUGUAGGAGAGAAACAGGCGCUUCUUUUGCGCAAGGUAUCAAAGGGCGCUAUGUUCAAAAUCUGAAACUAGAGCCCAAAAUUUGAGAAAAAUGGUAAAAAAGUAGGGGAGUAGCCCUAUUCCAGGACUUCUAGAGAAAAAUAAUUAAGGAACACGGGGUAUGAUUAUAUAUGUCUUGUAGAGGAGAAACAGGCGCUUCUUUUGCGCAAGGUAUCAAAGGGCGCUAUGUUCAAAAAUCUGAAACUAGAGCUAAAAAUUUGAAAAAAAAAUGGUAAAAAAACAGGGGGGUCGGCCUAUUCCAGGGCUUCUAGAGAAAAAUAAUGAGGGGUGUCACGGGGUAUGACUAUAUAGGUCUUGUAGAGGAGAAACAGGCGCUUCUUUUGCGCAAGGUAUCAAAGGGCGCUAUGUUCAAAAAUCUGAAACUAGAGCUAACAAUUUGAAAAAAAUGGUAAAAAACAGGGGGGUCGGCCUAUUCUGGGGUUUCUAGAGAAAAAUAAUGAGGGGUGUCACGGGGUAUGACUAUAUAGGUCUUGUAGAAGAGAAACAGGCGCUUGUUUUGCGCAAGAUAUCGAAGGGGGCUAUGUUAAAAAAUCUGAAACUAAAGUCCAAAAUUUGAAAAAAAAAAGAUAAAAAACAGGGGGGUCGGCCUAUUCCGGGGCUUCUAGAGAAAAUAAAUGAGGGGUGUCACCGGGUAUGACUAUAUAGGUCUUGUAGAAGAGAAACAGGCGCUUCUUUUGCGCAAGGUAUCGAAGGGCGGUAUGUUCAAAAAUCUGAAACUAGAGCCCAAAAUUUGAAAAAAAUGGUAAAAAAGUAUGGGGGUCGGCCUAUUCCGGGGCUUCUAGAGAAAAAUAAUGAUGGGUGUCACGGGGUAUGACUAUAUAGGUCUUGUAGAGGAGAAACAGGCGCUUCUUUUUGCGCAAGGUAUCAAAGGGCGCUUUGUUCAAAAAUCUGAAACUAGAGCUCAAAAUGUGAAAAAAAUGGUGAAAAACAGGGGGGUCGGCCUGUUCUGGGGUUUCUAGAGAAAAUAAUGAUGGGUGUCACGGGGUAUGACUAUAAAGGUCUUGUAGAAGAGAAACAGGCGCUUCUUUUGCGCAAGGUAUCGAAGGACGCUAUGUUCAAAAAUCUGAAACUAAAGCCCAAAAUUUGAAAAAUGGUAAAAAAGUAGGGGGUAGCCCUAUUCCAGGGCUUCUAGAGAAAAAUAAAUGAGGGGUGUCACGGGGUAUGACUAUAUAGGUCUUGUAGAUGAGUAACAGGCGCUUCUUUUGCGCAAGGUAUCAAAGGGCGCUAUGUUCAAAAAUCUGAAACUAGAGCUCAAAAUUUGAAAAAAAUGGUGAAAAACAGGGGGGUCGGCCUAUUCUGGGGCUUCUAGAGAAAAAUAAUAAUGGGUUUCACGGGGUAUGACUAUAUAGGUCUUGUAGAAAAGAAACAGGCGCUUCUUUUGCGCAAGGUAUCGAAGGGCCCCUUUUAUGCAGAUUUUUUUUUUCGGUUUUGGGUCAUUAGAUGGUUAAAAGAGGAGCUACAC